rnacentral:rRNA from 1 species
UACAGAGGGUGCAAGCGUUGUUCGGAAUUACUGGGCGUAAAGCGCGUGUAGGCGGCCCGGCAAGUCCGCUGUGAAAGUCGGGGGCUCAACCCUCGGAUGCCGGUGGAUACUGUCGGGCUCGAGUACGGAAGAGGCGAGUGGAAUUCCUGGUGUAGCGGUGAAAUGCGCAGAUAUCAGGAGGAACACCAAUUGCGAAGGCAGCUCGCUGGGACGUUACUGACGUUGAGACGCGAAAGCGUGGGGAGCAAACAGG